rnacentral:lncRNA from 1 species
UUUCUUCAACAAAUUGUGCUAGGAAAACUGGAUAUCCACACACAGAAUAACAAAGUUGAACACUUUCCUUAUGCCAUAUACCAAAAAUAACUCAAAAUGGAUCAAAGACAUAACUAUAAGAGCUAAAAUUAUAAAGCUCUUAGAAGAAAAGAUAGAGAUAAAUUUUCAUGACCUUGGAUUCGGCAGUGAAUUCUUAUGUGUGACAUCAAAAACACAAGCAACAAAAGGAAACUAGAUAAAUUGAACUCCAUCGAAAUUAAAACAUUUUCUACUGGCUGGGAGGGCUGGCUCAUGACGGGGGUGAAACCCCAUCUCUACUAAAAAUACAAAAAUUAGCUGGAGGUGGUGGUGCUUGCCUGUAAUUGCAGCUUCUUGGGAGGCUGAGGCAUGAGAAUUGUGAGAACUGCUUCAACCCAGGAGGUUGAGGUUGCAGUGAGCUGAGAUCGCACCACUGCACUCCAGCCUAGGUGACAGAGUAAGACCCUGUCUUAAAAAACAAAAAAUUACCAUAAAACCUUUUCUGCAUUAAAUGCCACUAUCAACUUGAGUGAAAAGACAAACUUCAAAAUGAGAAAAAUAUUUUCAGAUUUGUCUUAGUCUGUUUUGUGCUGCUAUAAUGGAGUACCACAGUCGGGGUAAUUUGUAAUGAAGAGAAGUUUACUGGCUAACAGUUCUGGAGGCUGGGAAGUCCAAGAACAAGGGGCUGGCAUCUGGCAAGGGCCUUCUUACUGCACUCCAGCCUGGGCAACACAGCGAGACUCCGUCUCAAAAAAAAUAAAAUAAAAAAUAAAAAAAGGAAAAAAAAAAGAAAAUAGGAAAAUCCAUAGAGACAGAAAAAAGACUAGUGGUUACCAGAGCCUGGGAGGAGGGGGGAAAUGUGGAGUGGCUGCUUAAUGGGUGAGGAUUUCCUUUUGGGGUGGUGACAAAUUCUGGACCUAGAUAGUGUUGAUGGUUGCAUGACAUUGUGAAUGUACUUAAUGUCAGUGAAU